CUACGGGGCGCUCCAGUGGGGAAUAUUGGGCAAUGGGCGCAAGACUGAUCCAGCAACGCCGCGUGAGGGAAGAAGGUUUCCGGAUUGUAAACCUCGGGCCGGGGGGAAGAAGAAGUGACGGUACCCAAGGAGGAAGCUCCGGCUAACUACGUGCCAGCAGCCGCGGUAAUACGUAGGGAGCAAGCGUUGUCCGGAAUUACUGGGCGUAAAGGGUGCGUAGGCGGCAUAUUAAGUCAGGUGUGAAAUACUCGGGCUCAACCCGGGGGCUGCAUUUGAAACUGAUAUGCUUGAGUGUGAGAGAGGAAAGUGGAAUUCCUAGUGUAGCGGUGGAAUGCGUAAAUAUUAGGAGGAACACCAGUGGCGAAGGCGACUUUCUGGCUCAUAACUGACGCUGAGGCACGAAAGCGUGGGGAGCAAACAGGAUUAGAUACCCGGGUAGUC
rnacentral:rRNA from 1 species